rnacentral:rRNA from 1 species
AUUCAGUUGCCAUCGGGUAAUGCCGGGCACUCUGGAAGGACUGCCAUCGACAGAUGGAGGAAGGUGGGGAGUGACGUCAAGUCAUCAUGGCCCUUAUGUCCAGGGCGACACACGUGCUACAAUGGCCGGCACAACGGGAAGCGAGUUCGCGAGGACGAGCGGAUCCCUCAAAGCCGGUCGCAGUUCGGAUUGAAGUCUGCAACUCGACUUCAUGAAGCUGGAAUCGCUAGUAAUCGUGGAUCAGCCAAGCCGCGGUGAAUACGUUCCCGGGCCUU